rnacentral:tRNA from 1 species
UCCCUGAUGGCUCAAAUGCUAAAGCGUCUACCUGCAAUGUGGGAGACCCAGGUUCGAUUCCUGGGUCGGGAA